AGUGAACGCUGGCGGUAUGCCUAACACAUGCAAGUCGAACGGCAGCACAGUAAGAUCUUGCUCUUACGGGUGGCGAGUGGCGGACGGGUGAGGAAUACAUCGGAAUCUACUUUUUCGUGGGGGAUAACGUAGGGAAACUUACGCUAAUACCGCAUACGACCUACGGGUGAAAGCAGGGGAUCUUCGGACCUUGCGCGAUUGAAUGAGCCGAUGUCGGAUUAGCUAGUUGGCGGGGUAAAGGCCCACCAAGGCGACGAUCCGUAGCUGGUCUGAGAGGAUGAUCAGCCACACUGGAACUGAGACACGGUCCAGACUCCUACGGGAGGCAGCAGUGGGGAAUAUUGGACAAUGGGCGCAAGCCUGAUCCAGCCAUACCGCGUGGGUGAAGAAGGCCUUCGGGUUGUAAAGCCCUUUUGUUGGGAAAGAAAAGCAGCAGGUUAAUACCCCGCUGUUCUGACGGUACCCAAAGAAUAAGCACCGGCUAACUUCGUG
rnacentral:rRNA from 1 species